rnacentral:rRNA from 1 species
CGAACGCUGGCGGCAGGCCUAAUACAUGCAAGUCGAACGGCUCUUCGGAGCAGUGGCGGACGGGUGAGUAACGCGUGGGAAUGUGCCCUUUGGUACGGAACAACACAGGGAAACUUGUGCUAAUACCGUAUGUGCCCUUCGGGGGAAAGAUUUAUCGCCAUUGGAGCAGCCCGCGUUGGACUAGGUAGUUGGUGAGGUAAAGGCUCACCAAGCCUACGAUCCAUAGCUGGUCUGAGAGGAUGACCAGCCACACUGGGACUGAGACACGGCCCAGACUCAGACGGGAGGCAGCAGUAGGGCAUCUUGCGCAAUGGGCGAAAGCCUGACGCAGCCAUGCCGCGUGUAUGAUGAAGGUCUUAGGAUUGUAAAAUACUUUCACCGGGGAAGAUAAUGACGGUACCCGGAGAAGAAGCCCCGGCUAACUUCGUGCCAGCAGCCGCAGUAACAC